rnacentral:rRNA from 1 species
UACGUAGGGGGCAAGCGUUAUCCGGAUUCACUGGGUGUAAAGGGAGCGUAGACGGCGACGCAAGUCUGGAGUGAAAGCCCGGGGCUCAACCCCGUCGAGCCGUUGAAACUGGCAGACUUGAGUUGGCGAGAAGUACGCGGAAUGCGCGGUGUAGCGGUGAAAUGCAUAGAUAUCGCGCAGAACUCCGAUUGCGAAGGCAGCGUACCGGCGCCAGACUGACGCUGAGGCACGAAAGCGUGGGGAUCGAACAGG